GGAAAAGGGCAGGACUGGUGGAGAGCUGGGGAAAUCCUGGGACCCAGGCAGCCCGCUUCCUGCUUGAGGAGGAUCCCUGCCAGCAGACAGCAGCCCCUCUGCAAUGACUGAGGAAUCCAGCAUCAUCUUUGAACCUGAGGAUCAUUCAUGGAGUUUAGUAAUUAACACGUGAGCUUGGGAGGGCACCACUUGCCCGUUACCUGGUCACGGUCGCCUGCAAAACAACAGCUCUUCAUGGUACACGAGUUGAAGUAACCUUGGUUGUCAAAU